CAAGGAGUAGUUUAAGUUCAAAAUUCUAGCUUUGGGAGCUAGAGAUAGGAGUUAAAUUCUUCUCUCUUUGA
rnacentral:tRNA from 1 species